AUUGAACGCUGGCGGCAGGCCUAACACAUGCAAGUCGAACGGUAACAGGAAACAGCUUGCUGUUUCGCUGACGAGUGGCGGACGGGUGAGUAAUGUCUGGGAAACUGCCUGAUGGAGGGGGAUAACUACUGGAAACGGUAGCUAAUACCGCAUAACGUCGCAAGACCAAAGAGGGGGACCUUCGGGCCUCUUGCCAUCGGAUUGGACCAGAUGGGAUUAGCUAGUAGGUGGGGUAACGGCUCACCUAGGCUACGAUCCCUAGCUGGUCUGAGAGGAUGACCAGCCACACUGGAACUGAGACACGGUCCAGACUCCUACGGGAGGCAGCAGUGGGGAAUAUUGCACAAUGGGCGCAAGCCUGAUGCAGCCAUGUCGCGUGUAUGAAGAAGGCCUUCGGGUUGUAAAGUACUUUCAGCGGGGAGGAAGGGAGUAAAGUUAAUACCUUUGCUCAUUGACGUUACCCGCAGAAGAAGCACCGGCUAACUCCGUGCCAGCCGCCGCGGUAA
rnacentral:rRNA from 1 species